UACGGGGGGGGUAAGCGUUGUUCGGAAUUACUGGGCGUAAAGGGCUCGUAGGCGGCCAACUAAGUCAGACGUGAAAUCCCUCAGCUUAACUGGGGAACUGCGUCUGAUACUGGAUGGCUUGGAUUCGGGAGAGGAAUGCGGAAUUCCAGGUGUAGCGGUGAAAUGCGUAGAUAUCUGGAGGAACACCGGUGGCGAAGGCGGCAUUCUGGACCGACAUUGACGCUGAGGAGCGAAAGCCAGGGGAGCAAACGGG
rnacentral:rRNA from 2 species